rnacentral:rRNA from 1 species
GUACACGCCCUAAACGAUGAUUACUCGAUGUUAGCGAUAUACAGUUAGCGUCAAAGCGAAAGCGUUAAGUAAUCCACCUGGGGAGUACGCCGGCAACGGUGAAACUCAAAGGAAUUGACGGGGCCCGCACAAGCGGAGGAGCAUGUGGUUUAAUUCGAUGAUACGCGAGGAACCUUACCCGGGCUUGAAAGUUAGUGAAUGAUACAGAAAUGCAUCAGUCCGCAAGGACACGAAACUAGGUGCUGCAUGGCUGUCGU